CCCGUAGUUGUCAUGAGCUAUUUUUUGACCCAAAUUUAAGGAUGUAGAUCAAGCUGAACCAAAGGCAUUUACAUCAAAUUAGGAAUUUGUUGGUCAAGCACCUGCUGUACAUAGAACAACAAUCCAUUACAGCUUUGACUAUGCCGAGCAGGUCUUCUACCUAUACUAGGCACAGCAGGAGUGCCCUGCUUGGAAGUGUUCUGUAAAUCAUAUGGUUCACAGAUAUCUCAGUGAUAAGGGUUUAGCUGUUAUGUGGCCAAUGGUGUGGUAUCUCAUUUUCAACAUCAUCCAUAUAGAGAAGACUCUGCAUACCUGCACAUUGACGACUGUGUUUGGUGGAAUAAAAACAAUGCAAUCAUUGGGGUCUGAUGUAUUCUGAAGGGAGAGACACAGCAUUUACUUAAAUGGAAGCAGGUGACAUAAAGUUCAGUCAUGUGUGAGAUUUGGUCUGUGGAAGCCGAUGGAAAUGCAAAUAAACGGAGCAACAAACUCAAAAAAGAAUCUCAAUAAUUCUUGAAACAAAAAAUUGUUAUAAGAAAAAUCGAAAUAAUCAACUCCGAUGACAUAGAAAAAGCUCACAACAACACUUGCAGUAGCUACUAUGCAUAUUGCAAUUACUCCACCUUUGAUGGUACAGAUUCGCUGAACUUUGAACGGUAACAUCACACUAAGAGCCCUUUCAACGGUGAUCAUCACAAGGAUCCAGUUGGAAAAACAUGUAAAUGAAAAGUGUCCGACUUCAAACACUUUACGCAGUGCAUAGCUCGCAUCAAAAAAUGGAGUAAUUGCAGCGGCUACUAUAUUUACUGCCGUAAGGGUAACAUCAGACACAGCCAAUGCACAGAAAUAGAAACGAGUAGAACUUCAGCUAACAACCCAGUGAGUGCAUUCAUGAGAGAGCAUGCCAAGGACAGUGAGAUUGAAGUUAAAAUUGACAAGCCCACAAUAAUGGCUUUUCCUUGGAGAGUACCCUGAACGCAUCCAACUAAAAGGACUUAAUGCAAAAAGGCUCUGAUCCUUUAAAUAAGUGAAAACACUAAUAUACUGAUAUGUGAUCUUUAUAAACUAAAUAUAAGAUUUAAGAAUGAGCCCGUUACUGAGCUGAUGAAAACGUGCAUCAAUAUUUUAUUGACAGUUAUUAAUUCAAUAGAAACAUGUUCAUGUGAAAUGAAGCUACCAGUGAUUUUGAGUGAAAAACUGUGGUUUUAGCAAAUGAUUGAUAGAAGGGUGCUACACCCUGUCUUUUGUUGGUAGAGCCCCUCUGCCAUAAUGUAGACCACUAUAUGUUUAUUAUUAAUACAAACUUAAAACAAUCUGGCAGUUGAAGCCUAUAAAUGCUUGAACUGAAGACAUUUAUAAUAGUAUUGUUUGUCAAUAUUAGUUACUUCACAGCCUGAUAAAAUGUACCUUAGCAACCUUUCAGUUUUUCUUAAAUAUCUUUAUUUUUAAAACCUUCCUGAACCCUAUAAAAAAUUUCAGCUUUAACUUUUACCUAUGAAUAAGCAUCGAAAAUAUAAUUUGUCAUGUACUAAUGUGACCAAUUGCAUACCUCUUGAAACUACAUAAUGACGUGUACAUGCUAAGUAGUUAGUAUGUUACAUAAAUUGUUUUCAUUUUUGUAAAAUGUAAAUGUGCCCAUUUAUUAACUGAUCUAAUUUUACAAUAGUGUAAAUUGUGUAGGAUUGUUAUGUUUAUUAAAUUAAGAGUAUCUAUACUACCAUUUCAUGGUUUAUGAGCAAUGAAUGACUAUACAAAAAAUCACAUUUGAGGUAAAUUGGUAAAGUUGGUGUGAUUAUAAUCAUGUUUGUGGCCUGUUGCCAUGGUAACCAGGAUAAAAAACAAACUCUUAAAUACCAUUCAAAUAAGAUAAAUUAUAGUGAAUUACAGGGGUAACAUACUUUAACUUCUAGAUAUACAUUGGUUUGUAUUAGGUGCAAGUUCCAACCUAAUGUCAAUUUAUUGUGAAAAAUUGCCAAUAAACUACGGUACUUGGCGAACAGUUUUUAUUUAUUCGGAUUUUUUUAUGUCAAAUACAUACACCAUUUACAGUAAGGUUUGAGGAUAUCAAUUAACAGAUCAAUUAUUAUUGAAUGCUUCAUAUGGCAUUUAUUGUAUAUUUAAAUGCAAAUUUAACCCCAAAACGCCUUUUUCAAUAAAGGUUGCCAUGGUAACCAAUUAAUUUUCAUUUAUUUUCUCAAUAAUAAUUUAGAAUGGUUUUGAAAAUAUAUUGUUGUCGUUAUAAUGUGGGAAAUGUUUAUAUUGUAGUGAUGAAUAUUUAUUGCAUCUGUGAAUACAAAUGUUUCAAUAAAUUCUUGAACUUUA